rnacentral:rRNA from 1 species
GAUGAACGCUGGCGGCGUGCCUAAUACAUGCAAGUCGAGCGAACAGACGAGGAGCUUGCUCCUCUGACGUUAGCGGCGGACGGGUGAGUAACACGUGGAUAACCUACCUAUAAGACUGGGAUAACUUCGGGAAACCGGAGCUAAUACCGGAUAAUAUAUUGAACCACAUGGUUCAAUAGUGAAAGACGGUUUUGCUGUCACUUAUAGAUGGAUCCGCGCCGCAUUAGCUAGUUGGUAAGGUAACGGCUUACCAAGGCAACGAUGCGUAGCCGACCUGAGAGGGUGAUCGGCCACACUGGAACUGAGACACGGUCCAGACUCCUACGGGAGGCAGCAGUAGGGAAUCUUCCGCAAUGGGCGAAAGCCUGACGGAGCAACGCCGCGUGAGUGAUGAAGGUCUUCGGACCGUAAAACUCUGUUAUUAGGGAAGAACAAAUGUGUAAGUAACUAUGCACGUCUUGACGGUACCUAAUCAGAAAGCCACGGCUAACUACGUG